AACGAACGCUGGCGGCAUGCCUAAUACAUGCAAGUCGAACGAUCACUUCGGUGGUAGUGGCGCACGGGUGCGUAACGCGUGGGAAUCUGCCCUGGGGUUCGGAAUAACGUCGGGAAACUGACGCUAAUACCGGUUGAUGACGUAAGUCCAAAGAUUUAUCGCCCAGGGAUGAGCCCGCGUAGGAUUAGCUAGUUGGUGGGGUAAAGGCCUACCAAGGCGACGAUCCUUAGCUGGUCUGAGAGGAUGAUCAGCCACACUGGGACUGAGACACGGCCCAGACUCCUACGGGAGGCAGCAGUAGGGAAUAUUGGACAAUGGGGGCAACCCUGAUCCAGCAAUGCCGCGUGAGUGAUGAAGGCCUUAGGGUUGUAAAGCUCUUUUACCCGGGAUGAUAAUGACAGUACCGGGAGAAUAAGCCCCGGCUAACUCCGUGCCAGCCGCCGCGGUAA
rnacentral:rRNA from 1 species